ACCUAUGAUGCGUUGCCCAAAGUGUGAGAUGUAGGUAUCUUCAAGUCCCUGUUCAGUCAGGGAGAACCUACUUGGGGGGCCUACAUUAUAAUGAGAUUGAUGGGCUGUUACUGAGGU
rnacentral:snoRNA from 1 species